CGCCGAGCCGCCGGGCUCGCCGGGCUUCAGCAUCGCGCUGCCUGCCUGCCGAGCGGGGGGAAGCGGAGAGCAGACGUGAGACCCCCGCCCGCCGCCACCCGGACCGGCCCUGGCCCACGGGUCGGGGGGCGCAGCGCUGCGGGCAGGGACGGAUCCUGCCCCCCCCGGACCCGGCACCGCUCCCCGGAGCCGCCCGUACGGGGAGCCGGCCACGGGGGCUCGGGGAGCCCGUCCUCGCCCCCUGCAGCGUCCUCGGAGCCGCACCAAGCGCCUCUCCCCGGAACACCGCUCCCCGAGGCUGCCCCCGAGCCCCCCCGGAGCACGGACCGAGCCACCGCUCCGCCAGGUCCCCGUCCCCUCCAGACCGGCUCCUGCUCUGUGCUCCCGGUCACAGCGAGGAUGAGGAGGAGGAGAUGCGACCUGCGGCGAUAAACUUCUCGUCCCUCACUACUUUUUUUCCUCUCCGCUUUGGUUCAAAACCGGCCUUUUCCCGCACCUUUGCUCAGCUGUUGAGCUCAGGCACCAGCGACAACGCCACCGACUCCUCGCUUUUUUACCCCUACAUCGUGCGGAAAAGAAAAUAAUAACCACCUAGACGGGAACUAUCAUUUGUCUCGGGUAUAUCACAUGCAUACAGUCACCUUUAGGACAAAACAUUUACACAAAGCGUCUGUGUCGCCAGGACAGCGCUCCGGCGUGGAAAAGCCCACGUUGCCAGGUGUGGAGCUCACACUUGCCCACAAGCGGGACGUGUACGCGGCUGAAACCGCUCUCGCCGUUCCCCCCGACCCUGUUCCUAGCUUAUUUCUUUCCCACCCUUAAUUCUCGCAGAGCCUGGGAAAGCUUCUGCUGUUUAGAUUCUGUCUGCGUCUAAGGCAAGACGUUUUAGCACAAUUUUGAACAGAGCUGGGGCCAAAAAUGUUUUGACUGGCGUCAUUUUGACAAGGUCAUCCGUCAUCUUCUGUAUAGAUUGAUAACACCUAAGUUAAAGGCAAACACAACUAGGGGAAAAAAAAAAAAAAAGUGAUUCUUAUGUGUUAUGAAGUUGGCUAUAAAAACCUUCCUGAUGUCUUUGAUCAAGCCUACGGUGUAAAAUGUAAUGAAUUUCCAGUCCUCUCGCUCCAUUAAUCCACCUUGUAAAGCUCAGAAACAGCGCGAUGUAGCGGGGGGACCAAGGUGAGGCUCUUUCCAACACACCCGCUACCCAAAAAGCGCUUCUGGACGUUCCUGAUGGGAGUGGGCUCUCCUGCCUUUCCCCGUUUCCACUGCAGUGGCACGGUGUCUCGUCCCUGGCCAGCUCCCUGAGGGCAAAAGUCUCAUUCCACCUUUUCCGACUGUUUAAUUUUGAUUUAAUUUCAUUUUAUUUUUAAGUCGGACCUCUGCGUGAUUGUCCUUCCCAUUACCGCGCAUCGUUCAAAAGCACCAGGCGGCUUGCAGCGGCAGCGAGCUCUACAAAUUCGUUUUCGCGAUGGGUAAAGCGUGAUGGAGCGGGCAAAAGCGUCCAGACAGCGCGCUCAAGUUCAUCGCCAGUGCCUGCCUGCGUGCGCCUCGGGUUGACAGAAACACCCCGCGCGGGCUCGUGUUGGGACUUCAAGCUCUUACCGCGUCUCUUGCCGUUUGUUCGCUGUUUUUUUUUUUUUUUUUUUUUUUUUUUUUUUUUUUCCUUCUGUGUUUGUUUAUUUAAUUAUUUAUUUUUCUUUUCCCCAGCUCCAAGCCAUUGGGCUCGGGGUCACGCCCGGCCGGGGGCAGGGGCAGGAGGCGGUGGAAAGGGGCUGGGCGCCCGCCCCCGGUACCCACCACGGGCAGACCCCCACCCCCCCACCACCCCCUCGGCGCGGGGUCCCGCGGGCAGCACGGCCCGGCACGGCCCGGCACGGCUCAGCAGCACGCCGGGGAAGGAGGAGGGCUGCGAGGGAAGGUAAACGAGCGGAGGGACGGCACUGAGCCGAGCGGCGAGCGGGCGGCGGAGGAGGCAGGGACGCGCCGCCUCGGGCCGUGCCGAGCCGUGCCGGCCAGGAGCUGCUCAUCCCGGCCCCAUUGCCCUGGAGAGGAGAGGAAGGGCCGCUUCCGCACCCGCUGCCCCCGAUCCGGAUCUGGCCACCGCUGACCUCCGGCCCGCUCCCCCGGCAGGCGGGUCUGUGCGCCUCGCUGCUGCCUCUCACGAGUUUGUCUGCGCUCUAUUUCCUACUUUUUUUUUUUUUUUUCCCCCCGUGGAUGUGCCUUCUGUCUGUAAAGAUGCAGGAAAAAAAUAGAUGGAAAGAAAGAAAGAAAGGAGUUUUUAACUACUGCCUCCCCCUUUCCCUUUCUCCCAGGCUUUUCCAUUAUUUAGAGGAUGAGCGCUGAAACAAAUCACAUUGACCGUUUAGAAAGCGAUCAAACCUUUAUAAAAAUCCAUCGCCUGCGAAUCGAUUGGUGAAUAUUUGCUAGGAAUUUGUUCAAAAGAAAUAAAUAAGGAGGGCAAGUGUAUUAAAUGCAAAGGGGGAACACGGUGGUGUUUUUCUUCAUUGAUUAAUGACCUCUAAAAUAAAACAAGCGGGAAGAGGAGCCGAGAUCGAUAAAUUAACUACCCAAAUUCAUCAUUUUCCCUGGGAUUUUUUUUUUUUUUUUUUUUUUAUAAUAACCCUUAGGAAGGACGCCUGCCUCUUUGGAAACUCGAAGGUUUUAUUUUAGGUUGGGGGCAGGAAAGGAGCUGAACCCCUUUUGGGACGGGAUUGAAUCGGGAACACCCUAUCUGAUUUCGUUUGACACACAAUUAAAAAGUUUGCCUUUCAUAUUAA